rnacentral:sRNA from 1 species
CCAAUAGCGUAUAUUAAAGUUGUUGUGGUUAAAAAGCUCGUAGUUGAACCUUGGGCCUGGCCGUCCGGUCCGCCUCACCGCGUGUACUGGCUCGGCCGGGCCUUUCCCUCUGUGGAACCCCAUGCCCUUCACUGGGCGUGGCGGGGAAACAGGACUUUUACUGUGAAAAAAUUAGAGUGCUCCAGGCAGGCCUAUGCUCGAAUACAUUAGCAUGGAAUAAUAGAAUAGGACGUGUGGUUCUAUUUUGUUGGUUUCUAGGACCGCCGUAAUGAUUAAUAGGGACAGUCGGGGGCAUCAGUAUUCAAUUGUCAGAGGUGAAAUUCUUGGAUUUAUUGAAGACUAACUACUGCGAAAGCAUUUGCCAAGGAUGUUUUCAUUAAUCAGGAACGAAAGUUAGGGGAUCGAAGACGAUCAGAUACCGUCGUAGUCUUAACCAUAAACUAUGCCGACUAGGGAUCGGACGGUGUUAUUUUUUGACCCGUUCGGCACCUUACG